CCAGGGAUUGCCUCAGUAACGGCGAGUGAAGCGGCAAAAGCUCAAAUUUGAAAUCCCCCGGGAAUUGUAAUUUGAAGAGAUUUGGGUCCGGCCGGCGGGGGUUAAGUCCACUGGAAAGUGGCGCCACAGAGGGUGACAGCCCCGUGAACCCCCUCAACGCCUUCAUCCCAGAUCUCCAAGAGUCGAGUUGUUUGGGAAUGCAGCUCUAAGUGGGUGGUAAAUUCCAUCUAAAGCUAAAUACCGGCGAGAGACCGAUAGCGAACAAGUACAGUGAUGGAAAGAUGAAAAGCACUUUGAAAAGAGAGUGAAAAAGUACGUGAAAUUGUUGAAAGGGAAGGGCUUGCAAGCAGACACUUAACUGGGCCAGCAUCGGGGCGGCGGGAAACAAAACCACCGGGGAAUGUACCUUUCGAGGAUUAUACCCCUGGUCUCUAUUUCCAUGUUGCCCCGAGGCCUGCAUUCUAAGGAUGCUGGCGUAAUGGUUGCAAGUCGCCCGUCUUGAAC
rnacentral:rRNA from 1 species